CCUACGGGUGGCUGCAGUGGGGAAUAUUGGGCAAUGGAGGCAACUCUGACCCAGCAACGCCGCGUGAAUGAUGAAGGUCUUCGGAUUGUAAAGUUCUUUUCUAAGGGAAGAAGAAAGUGACGGUACCUUAGGAAUAAGCCUCGGCUAACUACGUGCCAGCAGCAGCGGGAAUACGUAGGAGGCAAGCGUUAUCCGGAUGGACUGGGCGUAAAGGGUGCGUAGGUGGGUUGACAAGUUAGUAGGGCAACUCCGGAGCUUAACUUCGGACUGACCACUAACACUGUUGGACUUGAGUGCAGGAGGGGCAAUCGGAAUGCGCGGUGUAGCGGUGGAAGGCGUAGAUAUCGGGAGGAACUCCAGUUGCGAAGGCGGAUUACCAG
rnacentral:rRNA from 1 species